ACCAAUGUAGUUUAAACCUUAAACAUUAAUUUGUGGUAUUAAAAUUACCAGUUAAAAUCUGGUCUCUGGUCC
rnacentral:tRNA from 1 species